rnacentral:tRNA from 3 species
GAGACUUUAGUUUUAAUGGUAAAACAUAUGACUUUUAAUCAUUAUAUUGUAGGUUCGAAUCCUACAAGUCUUA